AAUAUGGUAGGAUAUUAAAAGUCUGUAAGAUUCAUGCUCUUGAGGUUGAUCUGUAUUU
rnacentral:tRNA from 1 species